rnacentral:rRNA from 1 species
GAUGAACGCUGGCGGCGUGCCUAAUACAUGCAAGUCGAGCGAAUGGAUUAAGAACUUGCUCUUAUGAAGUUAGCGGCGGACGGGUGAGUAACACGUGGGUAACCUGCCCAUAAGACUGGGAUAACUCCGGGAAACCGGGGCUAAUACCGGAUAAUAUUUUGAACUGCAUGGUUCAAAAUUGAAAGGCGGCUUCGGCUGUCACUUAUGGAUGGACCCGCGUCGCAUUAGCUAGUUGGUGAGGUAACGGCUCACCAAGGCAACGAUGCGUAGCCGACCUGGGAGGGUGAUCGGCCACACUGGGACUGAGACACGGCCCAGACUCCUACGGGAGGCAGCAGUAGGGAAUCUUCCGCAAUGGACGAAAGUCUGACGGAGCAACGCCGCGUGAGUGAUGAAGGCUUUCGGGUCGUAAAACUCUGUUGUUAGGGAAGAACAAGUGCUAGUUGAAUAAGCUGGCACCUUGACGGUACCUAACCAGAAAGCCACGGCUAACUACGUGCCAGCCGCCGCCGUAA